CGGCCCGGAAGCGGAUGCGCGGCCGCGGAGCCGGCGGCGGGCAGAUGGCGGAGUGCGGGGCGCAGCCCCCCGGGGGAGGCAGCGGGGCUGCGGGCGCGCCCAGCCGCCACGAGAAGAGCCUGGGGCUGCUGACCACCAAGUUCGUGUCGCUGCUGCAGGAGGCCAAGGACGGCGUGCUCGACCUCAAGCUGGCUGCAGAUACCUUGGCUGUGCGACAGAAGCGACGGAUCUAUGAUAUCACAAAUGUCCUGGAAGGCAUCGGGUUGAUUGAGAAGAAGUCCAAGAACAGUAUCCAGUGGAAGGGGGUGGGUCCUGGCUGCAACACACGAGAAAUAGCUCACAAACUGAUUGAGCUGAAGGCAGACAUUGAGGACUUGGAGCAGCGGGAGCAGGAGCUGGAACAGCAGAAGAUGUGGGUUCAGCAGAGCAUCAAAAAUGUUACAGAAGACAUGCAGAACAGUCGAUUAGCAUAUGUGACACAUGAAGAUAUCUGCAAGUGCUUCACAGGAGACACCCUCCUUGUGAUUCGAGCCCCAUCAGGCACACGUUUGGAGGUUCCUGUCCCUGAGGGCCUAAAUGGACAGAAGAAAUACCAGAUCCACCUGAAGAGCACAAGUGGUCCCAUUGAUGUCCUCCUAGUAAACAAAGAUACUUGGAGCUCUCCUCCUGUGGUACUCCCCGUCCCUCCCCCUGAAGACCUCAUUCAGUGCCAGGCAGCUGCACCCUCGAAACCGCAAAUCCCACCACUCGCCCACUUCCAGGAGGCCUCUGUUCCCAGCAGCACCCAGCCCUCCACACCAACACCCACCAGCACUCAGGACCAUGGGCCUCCCACACAGAAAAAUGCAGGCACAGAGUGCGAUGUCCCGGCGGCAGAGUCCAAGGGCAGCGGUGACUUCGAGGGCCAGCCGGCGUUGGACACGCAGCUGCUGCAGUCCUCAGCCUCGCUGGACAGCAGCUCUGUCCUGCCCAGCACCUCUACCUCCUUUGAGCCCAUCAAGCCCGACCCCACAGGAGUACUGGAACUUCCCAAAGAGCUGUCAGAGAUGUUUGAUCCAAUGAGAGAAUGUGUGAACUCUGACCUGCUGGAAGAGCUGAUGUCAUCUGAAGUGUUUGCUCCCUUGCUCCGCCUCUCCCCUCCACCUGGAGAUCAUGACUACAUCUACAACCUGGAUGAGAGUGAAGGUGUCUGUGACCUCUUUGAUGUGCCUGUCCUCAACCUCUGACUUCUCAGUGCGGCUGUGAGCCCUGCAAACACGGACUGUUUUGUAACUCUUUGGAAAGUAUCUAUUUUUGGAUUCCUUUUGUGCUAGAGCUCGAUGGCCAAGUAAUUCAGAGAUGCUCUCAAAUGGACUCAGAGCCAAGAGAUGUGGACUUGCAGGCUGGGAGCCUCCCUGUAGUUUGCUUCUUCCUCUGGUGCACGUGCAAGAUGCACGUGCAGCUUUCCCCCCGCGUCUCUCCACUGGAUCCUGGGCCUCACUUCAAAGGGUCUGUGUUUUGAGUGUUCCCAGCUCACCUGCAGAAUUUGCCCACGUGCCUCUCUGAGCUUCCUCCAAUCUGCAUGCCUUGGUUUCUCCUGCACUCCCAGAGGCACUUUGCACCUCCUAGGUACCAGCUGCUACAAGGAGCCCCAAUACCAUGCUGCUCACUGCCUGUGACCCACACAACCAGCUGCAGCACCAGCACUAAGGGAUAUAAAGCAUCAAGAGCCUGCAGAGGUUAGAAGUGUUGGGGAUCUGUGUCCCGGAGUGGCUCCUCGGGCGCUCUCAUUUUGCAUGGGACUCCUCCACGAGGACUGUUCGUUUCUGCAGUGACAAAGCACUGGCAGCCUCUUUGGGGAAAGCAUGAAGAACUCGGGAGGAGCAGUGGACACUAGUUUGGCAGCUGCUGCUGGCAAGACAGCUGAGGUGUGAGACCCCUCUGGGGGGUGAACUUCCAGCCUGCAUGCUGCCUGUCCCUGAGCCUUUCCCUCUCCACAUGGAAGCUGACCGGAAUCCCUUGGUCCUGCCUGCUAACAAGGCUCCAUGGCUUUGGUGUAGCUCGAGCUCUUCACGUACUGCCUGGCCCUUGCCCUCCUUCCCAGUGUUCAUGUCCACCACCAGUUAGACGGCCUCCCGAAAAGGAUACCUAGAGAAAAAUUUACAGUUGCAAACGAACUUUUGAUUCAUAUAUAAAGAUUAUUUUUAUACUUUUUUUUUUUUGCAAGGGAAGAAAAUUGCCUGUCAUAUUUGUACAGAGUGUUCUCUGACGUGAAUAAACAAAAACUUUCCAGAGUUUCUCACCUUGCCCCA